GACAGAGGGUGCGAACGUUGUUCGGAAUUAUUGGGCGUAAAGAGCGUGUAGGCGGCCAUGUAGGUCCGUUGUGAAAACUCGAGGCUCAACCUCGAGACGCCGAUGGAAACCAUGUGGCUAGAGUCCGGAAGAGGAGAGUGGAAUUCCUGGUGUAGCGGUGAAAUGCGCAGAUAUCAGGAAGAACACCCGUGGCUAAGGCGGCUCUCUAGUACGGUACUGACGCUGAGACGCGAAAGCGUGGGGAGCGAACAGG
rnacentral:rRNA from 1 species